AGCCGACCACAGGAUAGGUGGGAAUGACAUGCAGUGUUGUGGUCAGGAAAGGCCUCUCUGUGUGAGCCGUAUAAGAAGGAAGGAUCUAGCCAUGCAGACAUUUGAGUUGGGCGGAGAGAACACAAAGGGAGCCUCGGGGUGGGAGGCAGGUGGGUGUGUUUAGGUGCGGAGAUCACCAUAUGAGGUCUGAGAAGUAGGCCCAUUAGGAGUUUGGAUUUUAUUUUGAGGGCAGGAGAAUGUCAGAUACCAUGAUAUGACGUGGCAGCCCAUGUCACACGCAAGUGAGGAAAACGAGGGUCAUGGAGGUCAAGGAAUCUGCCCAGCUUCCCAGUUUUUGGCAGAGCUAGGCUUCACACUGCCUCAGCUUAAAGCCCUUAAUUUCUUAAACCACUGGGCUGCAGUCCAUACCUUUGCCCCUUGCACCUCCUCUAAUUUAUGGGCCACCUUCUCCAGGUGUCCUCCUGGGCCCCAUUCCUUACCCUCUCUAGCACUGGAAGGCCGACCGCUUCUUCCUUGAGACCUUCUCUGGUUCUUUUCCUCUUCCUCGUCUGCCCUUUUCAUUGGAUCCUCUUCUGCCCUCUGCAUGUUCCACCCCGCCCAGCUCCCUCUUGCAGUCUUACAUAGCCACUGGCAUCACUCAUAACAUCCUUUAUGCUUUGCCCCUCUGCCCUUCCUCUUGCCUGUUCUAGCCUCUAAAUUCUGGGCUCUGUAUUACCAGUAGAUCCAUGUAAGAGCUUGCCUUUCCUUUUAGACCGGUGUGCUGUAUUUUGGAUACUGGCGCUACCAGUUUCCUUAAUACAGGUUAAAAAACUUGGAGUCAUCUUUGUUGUCCCAAAUCUCUCAUGCAGAUUAAUUUGACAAAUGUUUAUUGAGCCUACUCCACGCCUGCCGCUGUGCAAGGUUCUGUGGCUCCGCCCCUGGUGAGACCAUUUGUUUGUGACUAUGAAGGGUGUGGCAAGGCCUUCAUCAGGGACUACCAUCUGAACCGCCACAUUCUGACUCACACCGGAGAAAAGCCGUUUGUUUGUGCAGCUAAUGGCUGUGAUCAAAAAUUCAACACAAAAUCAAACUUGAAGAAACAUUUUGAACGCAAACAUGAAAAUCAACAAAAACAAUAUAUAUGCGGUUUUGAAGACUGUAAGAAGACCUUUAAGAAACAUCAGCAGCUGAAAAUCCAUCAGUGCCAGCAUACCAAUGAACCUCUAUUCAAGUGUACCCAGGAAGGAUGUGGGAAACACUUUGCAUCACCCAGCAAGCUGAAACGACAUGCCAAGGCCCACGAGGGCUAUGUAUGUCAAAAAGGAUGUUCCUUUGUGGCAAAAACAUGGACGGAACUUCUGAAACAUGUGAGAGAAACCCAUAAAGAGGAAAUACUAUGUGAAGUAUGCCGGAAAACAUUUAAACGCAAAGAUUACCUUAAGCAACACAUGAAAACUCAUGCCCCAGAAAGGGAUGUAUGUCGCUGUCCAAGAGAAGGCUGUGGAAGAACCUACACAACUGUGUUUAAUCUCCAAAGCCAUAUCCUCUCCUUCCAUGAGGAAAGCCGCCCUUUUGUGUGUGAACAUGCUGGCUGUGGCAAAACAUUUGCAAUGAAACAAAGUCUCACUAGGCAUGCUGUUGUACAUGAUCCUGACAAGAAGAAAAUGAAGCUCAAAGUCAAAAAAUCUCGUGAAAAACGGAGUUUGGCCUCUCGUCUCAGUGGAUAUAUCCCUCCCAAAAGGAAACAAGGGCAAGGCUUAUCUUUGUGUCAAAACGGAGAGUCACCCAACUGUGUGGAAGACAAGAUGCUCUCGACAGUUGCAGUACUUACCCUCUGCUAAGAACUGCACUGCUUUGUUUAAAGGACUGCAGACCAAAGAGCGAGCUUUCUCUCAGAGCAUACUUUUCUUUAUUAAAAUUACUGAUGCAGAA
rnacentral:sRNA from 1 species